UACGAAGGGGGCUAGCGUUGCUCGGAAUUACUGGGCGUAAAGCGCACGUAGGCGGCUUGUUAAGCCGGAGGUGGAAUCCUGGAGCUCAACUCCAGAACUGCCUUCGAUACUGGCGAGCUUGAGUUCGGGAGAGGUGAGUGGAACUGCGAGUGUAGAGGUGAAAUUCGUAGAUAUUCGCAAGAACACCAGUGGCGAAGGCGGCUCACUGGCCCGAUACUGACGCUGAGGUGCGAAAGCGUGGGGAGCAAACAGG
rnacentral:rRNA from 1 species